AUGAACGCUAGCUACAGGCUUAACACAUGCAAGUCGAGGGGCAGCAUGACCUAGCAAUAGGUUGAUGGCGACCGGCGCACGGGUGAGUAACACGUAUCCAACCUACCGGUUAUUCCGGGAUAGCCUUUCGAAAGAAAGAUUAAUACCGGAUAGUAUAACGAGAAGGCAUCUUUUUGUUAUUAAAGAAUUUCGAUAACCGAUGGGGAUGCGUUCCAUUAGUUUGUUGGCGGGGUAACGGCCCACCAAGACAUCGAUGGAUAGGGGUUCUGAGAGGAAGGUCCCCCACAUUGGAACUGAGACACGGUCCAAACUCCUACGGGAGGCAGCAGUGAGGAAUAUUGGUCAAUGGACGAGAGUCUGAACCAGCCAAGUAGCGUGAAGGAUGACUGCCCUAUGGGUUGUAAACUUCUUUUAUAUGGGAAUAAAGUGAGCCACGUGUGGCUUUUUGUAUGUACCAUACGAAUAAGGAUCGGCUAACUCCGUGCCAGCAGCCGCGGUAAUACGGAGGAUCCGAGCGUUAUCCGGAUUUAUUGGGUUUAAAGGGAGCGUAGGCGGACUAUUAAGUCAGCUGUGAAAGUUUGCGGCUCAACCGUAAAAUUGCAGUUGAUACUGGUCGUCUUGAGUGCAGUAGAGGUAGGCGGAAUUCGUGGUGUAGCGGUGAAAUGCUUAGAUAUCACGAAGAACUCCGAUUGCGAAGGCAGCUUACUGGACUGUAACUGACGCUGAUGCUCGAAAGUGUGGGUAUCAAACAGGAUUAGAUACCCUGGUAGUCCACGCCGUAAACGAUGAGUGCUAAGUGUUAGGGGGUUUCCGCCCCUUAGUGCUGCAGCUAACGCAUUAAGCACUCCGCCUGGGGAGUACGACCGCAAGGUUGAAACUCAAAGGAAUUGACGGGGGCCCGCACAAGCGGUGGAGCAUGUGGUUUAAUUCGAAGCAACGCGAAGAACCUUACCAGGUCUUGACAUCCCGAUGCUAUUCUUAGAGAUAGGAAGUUACUUCGGUACAUCGGAGACAGGUGGUGCAUGGUUGUCGUCAGCUCGUGCCGUGAGGUGUCGGCUUAAGUGCCAUAACGAGCGCAACCCUUAUCUUUAGUUACUAACAGGUCAUGCUGAGGACUCUAGAGAGACUGCCGUCGUAAGAUGUGAGGAAGGUGGGGAUGACGUCAAAUCAGCACGGCCCUUACGUCCGGGGCUACACACGUGUUACAAUGGGGGGUACAGAAGGCAGCUACACAGCGAUGUGAUGCUAAUCCCAAAAGCCUCUCUCAGUUCGGAUUGGAGUCUGCAACCCGACUCCAUGAAGCUGGAUUCGCUAGUAAUCGCGCAUCAGCCACGGCGCGGUGAAUACGUUCCCGGGCCUUGUACACACCGCCCGUCACACCAUGGGAGUCAGUAACGCCCGAAGUCAGUGACCUAACCGCAAGGGAGGAGCUGCCGAAGGCGGGACCGAUGACUGGGGUG
rnacentral:rRNA from 1 species